rnacentral:tRNA from 1 species
AAGAAAAGGGGGUCCAAGAAAAAACUUCUAAUUUUUUCUAGAGAGGUUCGACUCCUUUCUUUUCUUU